rnacentral:rRNA from 1 species
UACGUAGGGUGCGAGCGUUGUCCGGAUUUAUUGGGCGUAAAGAGCUCGUAGGCGGUUUGUCGCGUCGGCCGUGAAAUCUCCACGCUUAACGUGGAGCGUGCGGUCGAUACGGGCAGACUUGAGUUCGGUAGGGGAAACUGGAAUUCCUGGUGUAGCGGUGAAAUGCGCAGAUAUCAGGAGGAACACCGGUGGCGAAGGCGGGUCUCUGGGCCGAUACUGACGCUGAGGAGCGAAAGCGUGGGGAGCGAACAGG